AAGUCGUAACAAGGUUUCCGUUGGUGAACCUGCGGAAGGAUCAUUAACACGUAUCCAAACGUUAAAACCCCCAAUGACGCUUUCAGACACUGACUGCUUGGGGAAACAAGGCCUAUAAACCUUCCGCUCGAAUUGUAACUGUUCCAAUUUUCUCACGGGCCGGAGGUCUCUGAAUCAAACUGCUUACAUUGAUUUACCAGAGAUUGCAAGCGCCGCGGGUGACAAGAGCAGGAUUGAAUGUUCACGGGGAUAGCGCUUCACGAUUCCUGUAGACCGUACACUCGGGCAGGAGCUAGGCCAAAGGGUCACCAUGCCCCCUUGCGGCCCCACAGUUUAUUGCAAAGCUCAAUGUAAUACAUUGGGUAAAAAGACUUGAACAACUGUUAACAAUGGAUAUCUUGGUUCUC
rnacentral:misc_RNA from 1 species